GACGAGGUGACCGAGUGGUUAAGGUGAUGGACUGCUAAUCCAUUGUGCAUUGCACGCGUGGGUUCGAAUCCCAUGUUCGUCG
rnacentral:tRNA from 1 species